GCAACCUCCGCCUCCUGAGUUCCAGCGAUUCUCCUGCCUCAGCCUCCCAAGUAGCUGGGACUCAUCUCUGUCCUCUUGAAACUCUAAGCACCAAAUUGUGUUUUCUCUAAUCAUACUCAGACUCUGCUGUACAGCAUGAGAGUCUCCAGUACUUGCCUGUCUCAGAGAAAGGUGACUCCUAGGCCAGGCCAGGUGGGCCAUCUAAGUAUGGGUAUGUACCCAGUGAGAGAACCCACCUAUUUUUAUCACCUCCUCUAUCUUCUUCAAUAUUUCCAGACACCUGGGAGCAUUUCCCUGUGGGUGUCCCCAGCUGGUUCUUCACCUCUCCACAUGGAAGAUGAUAGUGCCACCAGCUUUGCUCCCAUGGGAGAAAAUGGAUCCUUAGUCUGAAACAUGAAACAGGUGUUAACACCCGGUGAAGGUAAUAAGUUCAGAGCUUUCACGGAUCCAUUACCCUUCCUGCUCUCAGAAGUGUUAAUAUUUAUUCCAGCAUGUUCAGUGACAUCCUGCCAAGCCAGAGUUCUUAACUCUUCCUAGGGUAGUGGUUCUCAAACUUCCAGGCAUCAGAAUCCCCUGAAGACCUUGUUAAAACCCAGAUUACUGGUCCUCACCCCCAAAAUUUCUGAUUCAGUCAGGCCAAAGGAUUUACUUUUCUAACAAGUUCUCAGUACUGCUAAUGCUGCUGGUCAGGGACAUACUUAGAGAACCUGAGUCCUAGGGGAUGCUUGAGUCUCCUGAAAUUCCAUGCACGAUCUGUCUGUAUGUGCCUGUGUGAUUUUUGUUCUAAAGUAUGUUUCAUAGCUUUCAUCAGAAUCUCAAAGUGAAUUAACUCAACCAACCAAACAAAAGCCAGUAUCUUUAAGAGCAUCAACUAAGGCAAAAUACCUAAAGGAAUGCUGAUCUCAAAAGAGAAUAUACAAUGGUGCAAAAAAUACAAAAGCACUGGAUAGAGCAAAGUUAGCUCCACAACGAGUGCUCAGAGUUAUUGGGUAGGAGCUGGGUGGAGGCUGAUAGGCACAAUCAAAAUAAAGGGUUUUGAAUAGGAAUUGAUAUUCUCACCCUGCAAGAAUUUAUUUUUAAUUAUAGAUAAUUAUUCUGAAUUACAACAAGAUGAUUUGAAGCAUUACGCUAAUUCAGGAGUAAUAAAGCAUGAAUUGCCGAUGCAAUCUUUAAAAAUGUAACCUAUCAAUCAACACUGGAACAGCAACAGACAAAAGGCUAUGAUCUGACAUUAUUAUUUUAUGGAGUCGCAGUUAAAACUGACCUUCAAUUUACUCUUUACGAGCCCCCAUAGGGCAAUGAGAGAUGCCAAAUACCUGUGGCUCCAUGUGGAGCCGAAUGAAGAUCUAUAUCCCUGCAGGCUGCCCUCCCCACUGGCUGACUCUCAGAAUCCCUUGCUUUUUAGAGGCAAUGGAACACAAUCCGUACAAGCACAAACUUGUGUCCGGUCAGAACUUGGCUCAAAUCCUAUCUUUGACCUUUACUAACUCUAUGACCCUAAGCAAGUACUUCAACCUCUCUGAGCUUCAGCUGCCUCAUCUGUUAAAUGGGAAGGAUAGCCUAACAUACAAGUUUCUCCUGAUGAUUAUAUAAUAUAUAAUAUAAUGGGUAAAAUGCCUGACAACAAACCACAACAUGAAUCAGGUCCUGCCCUAUACUAUGAUGGUGCUAGUAGAAUCAUAUUUAGCUAUUAUAGGUAGGAAGUAGAAGCAAGUCUUCCAAGGAGCCAUCCCAGACUCAGUGUCAUUUAACAGGGUACAGCAGGCUGCCUCGUUUUCAUAUAGCUAACAUUGCAUAAGGGUUGUGGCUCACAGUCUAAGAAUGCUACCCGAGCUUGCAGGCCAUCCCUUUAGUCAGGGAUGGGAGAAAGUAAUUGCUCAGUUGCUGACUAAACAUCUGCCCAAUGUAUAUGCUCUUUCUUGAAUCGAAGAGACCACAGACUGAAGAAGAAGGAGAAGGGAGAGAGGGGAGUAGGUUACAAAUGUCUCCCAUACAGUGAGUGCUAAUUUCUAUAGCAAGAAAGCAGAUACUGUGGCUACUUUACUCAAAGUGAAAAUAUUUCUUAAGGAAGGAAAAAAAAACAGGAUUGAGCACCAUCUAUGAGUCAGUUUUGCUUGCGCAUGAUUACAUAAUGCCCUCUUCUGUAGAGGAAAAACCAUAAUAAUAUUGCUUAAGUUCAUGGAGGCAAUGAUUAGUAGAGGCUGGAUUAAAACCUAGAUCUACCUCACCCCAAAUUUCAUGUGCUUUUGGUUAAACCAUUCUGUUUUUACCAAAGUAGCCAAAUUCUUCUACUUUAUAGCAUUGCUGUUUUAAGUUGAAGAAAAGAAAGACGGUGGAUACAUAAAGAAGAAAGACCAGAAUGUGCCUAUAAUUGAAAGUAAGUUAAGAAAAAAUCACCUCCCCACACACAACCAGAACAAAAAUUAAUGGCCAAACACACACAAAAUCACUUGACACAAAAUACACGAUCAAUCUCAGACCACAAGAUCUUCUUUAUCUCUUUUUUUGGAAUUCAGAGAGUCAACCCAGCUAAAUGGUGAAGGCAAUGAGGUCAAGGACCUGUAAAGGGCAGCAGAGAGUUGGAACUAGCUGGAGCACCCUUGGCUGUCAAAUUCAGAGGAAAGGCAACAAAAAGCUUUGCCUGGUGAGCUUGUAUUGAUCUUUGAGAAUAAAGAUCUAUGUAGAGAUAGACAUAAAUUCAUUAGGGUAGACCUGGAGACAGAUCUCUGUACUUGGUUUCAGUCAAGCAUUGCAUUUGGAUCUGGGUGGCAAAAGGGCCUUAACCAGAGAACAAACUUCCAUAGCAAUGGGUUAAAAGACCAUGGAGAGUUGAUGGAGCUAGAGGCCUAGUAUUAUACACUGCAGAGGCAUGAACCUGCUCAGACCAGCUGGCUCUAAGCAGAGACUGCAACCCAGCAGCCCACCAGCCAGAAGUGGCCAUCACACAGACAGGCUUGGUUGAUCUUCCUGGUGUUCCCUUGUGGGAAAAACAAGGAGCUGGAUGGACAUAGUCCAACUUGGUUACUUGCCUGCCCCAUGAAGGCAUGAGUUUGAAACUCUUGGUUUUAAAUAGACAUUACUCCUAGGCGAUAGCUUGGGGUUAUCAACCUGUAGACACUCAUCAUUGAAACUGUAGAUAUUGUAGACAUAACUGAAAUUCGGAAUCUGCAUAACAGAAUGGACAAUAAUGAAGAAUAUUUGGUAAAUAUAGAAUACAUAUAAUGUUCACCCUCUCAUCCAUACCUUAGGUCUAAGGAGUACCCAUUAUGGGUCAGAGGCUACGCCCAAUCAAACUACAAAGACACAUAAGGUAUAAUGACUGCCCUCCAAAGGAUUGUGCAGUAGUGUAACUGGGGAGGUAGCCUGUGCAUAAAAAGAUUUGUAACAAUGCCUUGGUGUCUGUUAAAUGCCAAGUAAGAAGGUAGACAAUAAGGGAGAAAGGGGCACUGGAGUUCAUUGUGGUCGGAGAUGGUUUAGGUUGGCUUUGCAAAGGAGGUAGAACAUUAACUGGAUCUUGGAUAAAGUUAGGUUUAGAUGAGUAGAACAAGAGAAAGGAGGGUACUCCAAACAACCAAAGAGAGGUGGCAGGAAUGUGCGUGGCAAGGUUGAUGAUAGUGAAUAGAUCAGUCUGGCUGAAGUUGUGAAUUCAUACAGAAAGAGGAAUGUACAUUCAGGAAUUUUAAUAAUUUCACAUUCAGAUUUGGAAGACUAUAUGUAAUAUUACAGCUCCUAAUUUUUGGUUUGAGAAACUAUGAUCAUCAUAAACCCUGAUAAACUCUUUCAGGCCAAAAAAGCAAGUCCUGUUUGUCAUUCUAUCAUUGUGACCCUAUCACAGUAUUUGGAACUUAGUAGGCUAAAAGAACUAAUGCAAUUUGUUCUCUAUACUUUAAAAUUUAUGUUCUUGACAAAUAUUUACUUAUCAAAAAUCAUAUAGGGACUUAGGGGUUAAAUUUUCAGAUGUGUGAUUACAAAGUUUUUUUUUUCUUUCUGGAAUUAAAAAUACAUAUAUAAGAGCAUAGCUUUACAAAACCAAACAUCUUUGAGCAAAACCAUUCAUCUAGCUUAAGAAAGGCAUUUCUUUUCCUAUCACCAUGUAAGGGCAGAGUUGCUCACAUUUUCUUAUCGUUCACUAAUGAGCCAAAUAAACUACACAGCUUCUCCAAGCAGCUGUGCAGGGCAAAUUCGAACAUUUUCUUCCUUAAGAAGGUAUGAUUACUGAGUGGUUUUAGAAUACAGUUGUUUGGAAUAAACAGUAGCUGUAAUCCAUUAUUCUUAAUUAAUUGAUCCCAUCAUAUUCAAUUCUUGUUACAAAAGCUCUGUUGUAGAAGAAAUGCCAAUGUUUGUGGUUGGAUGAAUGAAUGAAUGAAUGAAUGAAUGAAUGAAUGAAUGAAUACAUGCGGAAGAACUAUUGGUGACCACACUCUAGAUGUUUUCAGAGCGUUGUUAGUGAACUAUUUGCAUCAGAAUCAACCAGAAUACUGAUUUAAAACUCAUCAUUCUCAAAGGUGAGGCUCAGAAAUCUGCAUUUUAGUAAGCUUCUCAGAUGAUUCUGAUGAGCUCUAAUUGCUAGAAUCUUUGCUAUAAAGUAGGGAGGGAGAAGACUUUGGAAAACAAUGUAAGUUAAGCUAAGAAAUAAUUCUACAAGCUCCUGAUUAUACAGCAGGGAAAGCCCAGGACAGGGAACUCCAGUUGUUUUCUGAGAAACACCCUGAAUGUAUGAUUUGAUUGGGGGCGGGGCAGUUUGUAGAGCAAGAGAUAGAGAACAGAGUUCAGUCUAAGACACUGAGACCUGCCUCCUAGGAUCCAGACAAGCAAGGGUAUCAUGAACCAGCACAAAUGACCACUGCUCCUAGGACGGUGUUGCUGCCUCAUGCCAUGGCUCUUCCUUCCAGGAAUGGAGCAACAUAGGCUUGUGGGAUGUAAGAUGUUCCCUGGAGCAAGACAGAAUCCCACAAGGGUAGGUCAUGACAGUCAGAUCCUUUGGGAUCCUUUGGGAAGACUAUAUGGCUUUAAUAAGUUGUUUGGACUUCUAUCUGUCACUAACAAGGGUCACAAGGCAUUUAAUUUUUAGGAUGAGGGAGGAUGUGUCCAAAAGAGCACUUGAGAAGAUGAAUCUGGGAAAUACAUGCAGAUUAUAUCGGAAGGGACAGAAAUCAUAGGAAUCCAGUAAGGAGACCAGUACCUUGGUUUACCUAUUAUAGUCUGCCUGGUUCUUUUGAUGGCUAUCACAUUCUCUGCCAGCACUGAUUACUUCAGAUUGUCUCUCUACAGUGUAGAGAUGAUGUCUGACCAAUCUUUGUGUUUCCUAUUAUGUCUGGUCCUGAACUGAAUUGAGCACUCUCAUUCAACGUAUACUACCUCCUAGUAGUGGAAAUACAGUUGAGUGUCAAUUCAAUGCAAAGUAUACUAAAUGGUAUACUACCUCCUAGUAAUGGAAAUGCAGUUGAAUAUUAAUUCAAUGCAAAUUGUACUUAUCAGCCUUUUUAUAUUCUUCUAAUUAUUCUACAAAUAUUAACUGGAUAACAAUUUUGUGCCAGACACUGUACUUAACGCUGGGAAUAAAACACUGAGCGAAACAGACACGGAGCUGCCUUGAUGGGAAGUGCUGUCUUCUGGGAGAUAGGCGUCAGAGGCAGAGAGCAUGCAAGGCCAUUUCAGGCAGAAGAACACAAGCAAAGGAGCAGAGGCCCCAAGAAGACCUGUGUCCACCAUGUUGGUAAAGUAAGGGUCUCAUGAGGUGGGGCAGUGGGGACAGAGGGCAAAGCAUAGCCUUGAAUACCCUGCAAAGGAGUUUGAAAUUUAACCAAUAGACACUAUGAAGCCAUUGAAGGUUUUUUGGUAGCAGGUGAUUUAACUGACAAGGUUUGGGUUUUUAGAAAAUAGAUUUUAUAACAAAGCACAACAUAGGCUACAAAAGGUUGACUCUUGAGACAAGUGUGUCAGUUAGAACAUUAUUGCAAUAGUCCAGGUGAAAGAUGAUAAAGGCCUGAGCCCAAGCAUUAGGAAAAAGAAUAGUCUAAAGAGGCCCAAAAGGUCCAUAUAGGAGAUAAAAUCUAUGCAGCUUAUUACUGGCUGAAAGGGCAGGAGAGUAAGUUAGAACAAGAGUUGAAAAAUGUCCCUGUUCUGAUGACCACUUGAAUGAAGAGAAUCUCAUUAAUUAGAUUACGCAAGAAGGAGGGAGAGUUUGUACGAACCAAGCUGGCACAUUCAGUUCUGAUUCAACCUUCAUGAUGCAGUUAAGAGUAUCUCAUUAAACUUACUGACCUGACCAUAGCUCUUAGCUCCUCUGAGCUCUCCAGUACACCACCAUUAGUUAACCUCAUCGGGUACGAGCUCAUUACCUCCUAAUGCAGCCACUGUUUGCUGGAUGCCUACUUUGUUAAAGUCUGGCAGUAGGUGUCAUUUUGGGGUGGGGUAGAUUAAAUGGUGAAUUGAGAUAUAGCUCCUGCCUUCACAAGCUCGCAAGCCAGGAGCAAUCAAUGCAUGCAUCCUUCCUGCGGGUCCGAUCAUGUACAGCACUGGCUACACCAGAUGAGUGAGCUGCUGUGCCAGUAGAUCCACAUACAGAAACAAAUUAGGUGCCAACGCUGCUCUAUGACUAAAAUGGAUUCCUGUAACUCACAAUUUCAAAUGUUAGUACGUUAAGCCCAUUUUAUUUUUCUCAUUUAUUGCUGUUUGUAAAGAGAAAGUUAUCACUUCAAACAAAAAUAUGCCCCUUAUCUAUUUUACAUGUAGACAUACACAUAAAUACUUCAUUUGAAAUAAGGAUUGUGCUGUUUAAAAAUAAACAUGUAGCCUGACAGUUUGAAAACCACGGGACUACAGCAGCAGCUUCCCCAUCGGCCCAGAAGCCCGGCAAGCAUGGAGAAUUUAUUGGUUCACAUCACAUAGACAAGAACUCUAUGUCCAAAGAACUUGGAGUUUCAAAGCUACAUGAUGAUGCAAUGAGACAUUUUGACCAAAUUCCAUCCUGAAUUUGAUGAAUCUACCCAAAAGAAGAGAAGUGGCUGCUUCUGGUUCGCACCCAUUCUCAAGGCAGUGGGACAGAGUACAAACAUACCUGGACUGGGAGAGUGGAAGUCAGCAUUCUCUUAAGGGCUCUGCUCCUAACUGGCUACAAAGCCUGGGCCCAGGCUUCCUCAUCUAUUAAGUGAACUAUUUGAACUGGUUGAUUUCAGGGGUUCUACCCAGCUUUAAAAAUUCUAUAAUCCUGAGAACAUCUGUUUAAGCACAGUUCUCUAACUUUGCUGUUCUGAAUAAACAUGAUCUGGUCACA